rnacentral:rRNA from 3 species
AGCUCCAAUAGCGUAUAUUAAAGUUGUUGCAGUUAAAAAGCUCGUAGUUGAACUUUGGGCCCGGUUGGCCGGUCCGAUUUUUUCGUGUACUGGAUUUCCAACGGGGCCUUUCCUUCUGGCUAACCUUGAGUCCUUGUGGCUCUUGGCGAACCAGGACUUUUACUUUGAAAAAAUUAGAGUGUUCAAAGCAGGCGUAUUGCUCGAAUAUAUUAGCAUGGAAUAAUAGAAUAGGACGUUUGGUUCUAUUUUGUUGGUUUCUAGGACCAUCGUAAUGAUUAAUAGGGACGGUCGGGGGCAUCAGUAUUCAAUUGUCAGAGGUGAAAUUCUUGGAUUUAUUGAAGACUAACUACUGCGAAAGCAUUUGCCAAGGACGUUUUCA